rnacentral:rRNA from 1 species
UACAGAGGGUGCGAGCGUUGUCCGGAAUUACUGGGCGUAAAGCGUGCGCAGGCGGUCUGCUAAGAGAGGUGUGAAAGCCCCGGGCUCAACCUGGGAACUGCAUUUGGGACUGCAAGGCUGGAGUACGGCAGAGGGAGGUGGAAUUCCACGUGUAGCAGUGAAAUGCGUAGAGAUGUGGAGGAACACCGAUGGCGAAGGCAGCCUCCUGGGCUAGUACUGACGCUCAUGCACGAAAGCGUGGGGAGCAAACAGG